AAUGUAUAUAAAGAGGUGCUUCUAUCAGAGCACUCAGGGUUUCCUGUUCAAUGCUUGUGUGUUAAAAAUUCAAGUUUCUUUCAGGUUUGCUUUUCUCCAUUCAUUAGCUAUUGCUUGAUAUUCCCCACGUAUUGCAAAAGUGAAAUGGGUUGAAGAAUCUAAAACUAUCUUCCAGUCUCUUUGAAGAUCUUAAAGUAAAAAGAAUGACAUGUUUGAUAAUUGUUUAAAGAUAAGACAUAAAGAUAAUUGUUUAGAAUAUA